rnacentral:rRNA from 1 species
GACGAACGCUGGCGGCGUGCUUAACACAUGCAAGUCGAACGGAAAGGCCCUGCUUUUGUGGGGUGCUCGAGUGGCGAACGGGUGAGUAACACGUGAGUAACCUGCCCUUGACUUUGGGAUAACUUCAGGAAACUGGGGCUAAUGCCGGAUAGGAGCUCCUGCUGCAUGGUGGGGGUUGGAAAGUUUCGGCGGUUGGGGAUGGACUCGCGGCUUAUCAGCUUGUUGGUGGGGUAGUGGCUUACCAAGGCUUUGACGGGUAGCCGGCCUGAGAGGGUGACCGGCCACAUUGGGACUGAGAUACGGCCCAGACUCCUUCGGGAGGCAGCAGUGGGGAAUAUUGCACAAUGGGCGGAAGCCUGAUGCAGCAACGCCGCGUGCGGGAUGACGGCCUUCGGGUUGUAAACCGCUUUCGCCUGUGACGAAGCGUGAGUGACGGUAAUGGGUAAAGAAGCACCGGCUAACUACGUG